UGUAGCACUCACGGCUCCAGACUGGUUCACUCAAGAUUUCUUAUCUGCAAUGGAACCACUUCUGUUGUGAAGUUCUCAGUCACCAGCAGGUGCAUUUUGGGGAACUUGCUAGAACACCACAUUCACAAACCCUUUCUCAGGCUUUCUGAAUCAGAGGUGUCAUAAAAUCGGUAAUCCCAUUGCUCCUGGGCCUUCCAUGUGAUUCUGCUCCACUUUCCAUGUAUCACCUUCCCAGAGGUUCUGUGAGAAUGACAGGAGGGCAGGUGUGAGAAGCUCAGACUGUGCCUGGAGCCUCAGCAUUGCUCAGUGGUGACAUCAUCUUCAUCUGCACCACCACAGCAGCAUCUCCUCUAGCAAAGCUUUCACUGCCAAGAGGAACUGGUCCUCAGAGGUGGAGCUGUCCUUCUCCUGGAACACCCAGCUCAGCAUUCAAACUGGGAUCAUGUGUUGGAGCAGCUGAUACCAUCCUGAAGCAAACAGCAGCCAGGAAGAAAACAGGAACCAUGCUUCCAGACCUAGGGUUAGAAAAGAAAUGAGAUUCUGACAACAACAUGCUUCAAUAAAACCUUAUUUCUGUCUCAGAAA